rnacentral:rRNA from 1 species
AUGUGUUGUUGGGUAGGGGAGCGUUCUGUAAGCCUGCGAAGGUGUGCUGUGAGGCAUGCUGGAGGUAUCAGAAGUGCGAAUGCUGACAUAAGUAACGAUAAAGCGGGUGAAAAGCCCGCUCGCCGGAAGACCAAGGGUUCCUGUCCAACGUUAAUCGGGGCAGGGUGAGUCGACCCCUAAGGCGAGGCCGAAAGGCGUAGUCGAUGGGAAACAGGUUAAUAUUCCUGUACUUGGUGUUACUGCGAAGGGGGGACGGAGAAGGCUAUGUUAGCCGGGCGACGGUUGUCCCG